rnacentral:rRNA from 2 species
GUGGCAAGCGUUAUCCGGAUUUAUUGGGCGUAAAGAGAGUGCAGGCGGUUUUCUAAGUCUGAUGUGAAAGCCUUCGGCUUAACCGGAGAAGUGCAUCGGAAACUGGAUAACUUGAGUGCAGAAGAGGGUAGUGGAACUCCAUGUGUAGCGGUGGAAUGCGUAGAUAUAUGGAAGAACACCAGUGGCGAAGGCGGCUACCUGGUCUGCAACUGACGCUGAGACUCGAAAGCAUGGGUAGCGAACAGGAUUAGAUACCCUGGUAGUCCAUGCCGUAAACGAUGAGUGCUAGGUGUUGGAGGGUUUCCGCCCUUCAGUGCCGGAGCUAACGCAUUAAGCACUCCGCCUGGGGAGUACGACCGCAAGGUUGAAACUCAAAGGAAUUGACGGGGGCCCGCACAAGCGGUGGAGCAUGUGGUUUAAUUCGAAGCUACGCGAAGAACCUUACCAGGUCUUGACAUCUUGCGCCAACCCUAGAGAUAGGGCGUUUCCUUCGGGAACGCAAUGACAGGUGGUGCAUGGUCGUCGUCAGCUCGUGUCGUGAGAUGUUGGGUUAAGUCCCGCAACGAGCGCAACCCUUGUUACUAGUUGCCAGCAUUAAGUUGGGCACUCUAGUGAGACUGCCGGUGACAAACCGGAGGAAGGUGGGGACGACGUCAGAUCAUCAUGCCCCUUAUGACCUGGGCUACACACGUGCUACAAUGGACGGUACAACGAGUCGCGAACUCGCGAGGGCAAGCAAAUCUCUUAAAACCGUUCUCAGUUCGGACUGCAGGCUGCAACUCGCCUGCACGAAGUCGGAAUCGCUAGUAAUCGCGGAUCAGCAUGCCGCGGUGAAUACGUUCCCGGGCCUUGUACACACCGCCCGUCACACCAUG